rnacentral:lncRNA from 1 species
UAAAAAAAUUCGUCCUCGAAUUUUGAAAAUAACAAGAAACUAGGAUGCAACAAUUGUUUACGACAAUGGUGGCUGUACUUCUCACAUAAUGCUGUUGAGCAGAUAGAAGAUGAAUCAAGAAGAUGAGAUAAAUAUUUUUAAGUUCGUUAGUCAGACCAGUAGAAUUAAUUUUUAUUAAAUUAUGAAGACAAACCAAUGGGAAGAAAAUUCAAUUUAUAGGGAGGGUAGGAUGAUUAUGAGAUGAAUCUAGCCCCAAAGUUACCUACCUUAUUACCAUAGUUAAUUUAAACUUGAGUUGUACUAUAUCUAUAAGUCGUCAAGUCAAGUCAAAUAUUCAUUACCUAAAGUACAGAUUCGACACUAGUAUUCACCUUUACACGUAAGAAUUUUAAUCACUUAUAACCUCUGCUUAAGUAAGGGUUACUAAUCUUAUUAGCUCUAAAUCAUGUGUCCUUACAUUGAUGUAUCGUCAUUUAUUCUCUCACUAACUAUCAUAGGCAAAGAUCAUCUCUCCAUAAGAAACUCAUACACAAACCAAGUAUUUAAUCUUACUGAUAUAAGAAUCCGUAUCUCAAUUUGGACUCCUUAUUUUAAAAUUCAAAACCAACUAGCCAAAUUAGUUGUUGCCAUGCCGGAUAAUUCUUAAUUCAUUUUCUAAAAUUUGCUAGUACCAUUCUAUUAUACUCAAUUCCAUAAAGAAGUCCAGCCUAGAUAUAUAUAUCUAUACAUUUUUUUUUUUUUUUUUUUACAAGCUUAAUCAAAAUGUAAAAUUCUCCAAAUUGUCGUUUAUAUCCAAUUUACUUAUUUCUUCUGUCUUUAAUCAAUCUUUUAAACCUAAGUUUACGUAUUUAGAAAUCACGAAUCCUAAACAAGUAGUGCCUUUUGCUCUAGUUAAGUAAGAGAUUAAAGAUGUUAAUCCUAUAAUCUAACUCUUGAUUAAACUAUGUCCUUUGUUUUAUGUUUAUUCUUAAUCCCAUGAAUACCUAUGAAUAUUCAGAUAAUAAUAUCAUUGAGUUAUUCCUUUUUCCAAGUCUAUCAUAAUGUCUAUCACCUCCAAAAAUUGUAAAAUUUAUACCUAAUACGAUCUAGGAAUAUUUUCAACCUUAAUUAUGUUCUCUCUAUGUUCUUUACCCCAAACAAAGUUAAUACCUCAUUGAACUCUUCAAAAUGGACCUAACAAAUUAAGUAGUCUCUUAAGCCACCAGAUAUGUCACAUCUGCCAUUUAUAACACAAUUAUAUUCAUUCAAUCAUAAUUGCCAACAAUUACUAAGAACUUCAGAAUAGCUUUACAUUGACUCCAAUCAUAUCUUAAUGACUCUCAUCCCAAUCGAUAUCUUAAUAAUUCCAUGAGCAAAUUUUCAUUUAUUAAUGGUCUGAUCGACACCCAUGAGUUAGCAUUCCAAUAAUCUUAAACCAUACCAUUAUCACAUCCAAUAAUCCUAUAGUUUAUAUUUUCAGUUUUCAAAUACUACCAUGUAUUCUCCUCGCUAAAAUUGUUAAACUAUCCCAAAUUCACCUAUUUAUUCUUAUACCAAGUUUCANNNNNNNNNNNNNNNNNNNNNNNNNNNNNNNNNNNNNNNNNNNNNNNNNNNGAAAUAUUUUUGAGUUCGUUAGUCAGACCAGUAGAAUUAAUUUUUAUUAAAUUAUGAAGACAAACCAAUGGGAAGAAAAUUCAAUUUAUAGGGAGGGUAGGAUGAUUAUGAGAUGAAUCUAGCCCCAAAGUUACCUACCUUAUUACCAUAGUUAAUUUAAACUUGAGUUGUACUAUAUCUAUAAGUCGUCAAGUCAAGUCAAAUAUUCAUUACCUAAAGUACAGAUUCGACACUAGUAUUCACCUUUACACGUAAGAAUUUUAAUCACUUAUAACCUCUGCUUAAGUAAGGGUUAUUAAUCUCAUUAGCUCUAAAUCAUGUGUCCUUACAUUGAUGUAUCGUCAUUUAUUCUCUCACUAGCUAUCAUAGGCAAAGAUCAUCGCUCCAUAAGAAACUCAUACACAAACCAAGUAUUUAACCUUACUUAUAUAAGAAUCCGCAUAUUCAAUCAAAUUUACUACUAUCUCAAUUUGGACUCCUUAUUUUAAAAUUCAAAACCUACAUNNNN